CUGUACAACCCGCUAGCUUUCCC
rnacentral:miRNA from 10 species